CAGAGAAUAGUUUAUUUAAAAUAUUAAUUUUGGAGAUUAACGAUAGGGGUUAACUCUUUCUCUGA
rnacentral:tRNA from 2 species